GACGAACGCUGGCGGCGUGCUUAACACAUGCAAGUCGAACGGAAAGGCCCUGCGUUUGUGGGGUGCUCGAGUGGCGAACGGGUGAGUAACACGUGAGUAACCUGCCCUUGACUUUGGGAUAACUUCAGGAAACUGGGGCUAAUACCGGAUAGGAGCUCCUGCUGCAUGGUGGGGGUUGGAAAGUUUCGGCGGUUGGGGAUGGACUCGCGGGUUAUCAGCUUGUUGGUGGGGUAGGGGCUUACCAAGGCUUUGACGGGUAGCCGGCCUGAGAGGGUGACCGGCCACCUUGGGACUGAGAUACGGCCCAGAAUCCUACGGGCGGCAGCAGUGGGGAAUAUUGCACAAUGGGCGGAAGCCUGAUGCAGCAACGCCGCGUGCGGGAUGACGGCCUUCGGGUUGUAAACCGCUUUCGCCUGUGACGAAGCGUGAGUGACGGUAAUGGGUAAAGAAGCACCGGCUAACUACGUG
rnacentral:rRNA from 1 species